GGACGACUCUGAUUGGAUGGAGGGAAGAGCAUAGUGUGUAAAAUGAAAUGAUUCAGAGUCAGGCACAUGGCGAGAGACUCUCAGGAUCAGAGGAAAUGUUCUUCCUGGAAAUUGAGGAAAAAUCCCAGGCUUUAACUAAGAAAUGCAGGGAAGGAGGAUAAAUUCAUGGGGCAGUCAGUGAGGUUUCUGGCCAUAGUAGAGAAGAAGGGAGGAGUUUACUGCCAGGAGAGACUCUUGAAUUUUUAAGCGAAGAAGAAGAAUGAUUUACAUGGGGAGAAUGCAUAGAGUAGAGAGGCUGGGAAAGUCAGUAGUUGAAAGUAGGAGGAAGAAGCAGCAGAAAGAGAAGGUUUAAAGUCAGGUAAGACCAGGACAAGGAGGAGGAGGAAGGCUGUGGUCUUGUGAGUGUGAGUAGGGAUGGGCUGUGGUCAUGUGAGUGUGAGUAGGGAUGGGCUAUGGUCAUGUGAGUGUGAGUACAGAAGGGCUGUGGUCAUGUGAGUGUGAGUACAGAAGGGCUGUGGUCAUGUGAGUGUGAGUAGGAGGUGGUCUGUGGUCAUGUAAGUGUGAGUAGGGAUGGGCUGUGGUCAUGUGAGUGUGAGUAGGAGGUGGUCUGUGGUCAUGUGAGUGUGAGUAGGGAUGGUCUGUAGUCAUGUGAGUGUGAGUAGGAGGUGGUCUGUGGUCAUGUGAGUGUGAGUAGGAGGUGGUCUGUGGUCAUGUGAGUGUGAGUAGGAGGUGGUCUGUGGUCAUGUGAGUGUGAGUAGGGAUGGGCUGUAGUCAUGUGAGUGUGAGUAGGAGGUGGUCUGUGGUCAUGUGAGUGUGAGUAGGAGGUGGUCUGUGGUCUUCUGAGUGUGAGUAGGAGGUGGUCUGUGGUCAUGUGAGUGUGAGCAGGGGUGGGUUGUGGUCAUCUGCUGUGUGUGAUACACUGAAUAGCAGGGUUCAGUUGUUACAGUAUUGAUGGAAACCGUGUGACAUUUGGGAAGAUGCCUGGGUUAAGAAGUAGCCCCACUACUUGAUAUGACUAACUGAGGGUUGUGGAAAAAUGCCUUCUGCCCAGUGACUUAGUCUGAC
rnacentral:lncRNA from 1 species